rnacentral:rRNA from 1 species
AACGCGUGGGCAAUCUACCCUCAAGUGGGGAAUAACCAUUCUAACGAGUGGCUAAUUCCGCAUGUGACCAUUUCUUCGCAUGGAGAGAUGGGGAAAGGCGGGGAUCUUCGGACCUGCCGCUUGAGGAGGAGCCCGCGUCCCAUUAGCUUGUUGGCGGGGUAACGGCCCACCAAGGCGACGAUGGGUAGCCGAUCUGAGAGGAUGACCGGCCACACUGGACUGAGAUACGGCCCAG